rnacentral:rRNA from 1 species
GUGUCAGCCGCCGCGGUAAUACGGAGGGGGCUAGCGUUGUUCGGAAUUACUGGGCGUAAAGCGUGCGUAGGCGGUUACUCAAGUCAGAGGUGAAAGCCCGGGGCUCAACCCCGGAACGGCCUUUGAAACUAGGUAGCUAGAAUCUUGGAGAGGUCAGUGGAAUUCCGAGUGUAGAGGUGAAAUUCGUAGAUAUUCGGAAGAACACCAGUGGCGAAGGCGACUGACUGGACAAGUAUUGACGCUGAGGUACGAAAGCGUGGGGAGCAAACAGGAUUAGAAACCCUGGUAGUCC